rnacentral:rRNA from 1 species
UACGUAGGGGGCAAGCGUUAUCCGGAAUCAUUGGGCGUAAAGAGUGCGUAGGUGGUUUCUUAAGCGUGGGGUUUAAGGCUACGGCUUAACCGUAGUUCGCCCCAUGAACUGGGAGACUUGAGUGCAGGAGGGGAAAGUGGAAUUCCUAGUGUAGCGGUGAAAUGCGUAGAUAUUAGGAGGAACACCAGUGGCGAAGGCGACUUUCUGGACUGUAACUGACACUGAGGCACGAAAGCGUGGGGAGC